rnacentral:rRNA from 1 species
AUUGAACGCUGGCGGCAGGCCUAACACAUGCAAGUCGAACGAGUGGCGGACGGGUGAGUAAUGUCUGGGAAACUGACUGAUGUAGGGGGAUAACUGGUGGAAACGGUAGCUACUGCCGCAUACUAUGGGAUGGGCAUAGGUGGGAUGAGCUAGUAGGUGGGGUAAAGGCUCACCUAGGAGAAGAUACUGAGCUGGUCUGAGAGGAUGAUCAGCCACACUGUGACUGAGUCACGGCCCAGACUCCUACGGGAGGCAGCAGUGGGGAAUAUUGGACAAGGGACGCAAGCCGGAUGCAGCCAUGCCGCGUGUAUGAAGAAGGACUUCGGAUUGUAAAGUACUGUCAGCGGUGAGGCGUUACCCGCAGAAGAAGCAACGGCUAACUCCGUGCCAGCAGCCGCGGUAAUAC